CAUACAAAACAUGUCAUUAAAUAUGUCAUAAACCAUUUGAGAUGAAGAUUAUGGAAGAAAAGUAGGCAUUCACCAUAAAUUGUUAUUUAUCGUAACAGAAUGAUGUUUUUUGCUCACUUCUAAUUUGAAUAGAAGAAAUUGUAUGUAGCCAACUCCAAAUUCCAACCAAUGAACAACACGGUUAUUAGAAGAAAAAAAACAGCUUUGGAAUGUUUUCAAAGUCGACCCCUAGCCGACUCGGUAAAUGAUUUUUGUUAGAAUUUGUGAGAAAUUUAAAAAUAGCCAAAUUUCUAAGUGGUAAUUUAAAAAUAAUAAAGCUUUAAAAGUAAUUAAAAUUUAAAUAUUUUUUAUGUAACGAUAAAUUUGAACGAAUAUACUGUUCAAAAUUCAAAAAAUAUUCCAGCAUAAGUAUACUAAAUGAGAUUUUUUUCUAUCCUAUACCAUAUAUGAAAUCUUAUUACUAAAAAUGUGCAUACUUUCAUUAUUACCCGCCAUGUUUAUAUUUUUACUACAAAAUUUAUACCAUUCAUUAAAUACCCAAUAUUAAGAAUUGAUUCCUUCCAAAUUAGGCGCCUACAAAUCUGGAAAAUUUAUACCAUUCAUUAAAUACCCAAUAUUAAGAAUUGAUUCCUUUAAAAUUAAUCGCCUACAAAUCUGGGAUAAAUAUUUGAAUAGCUUAUUUCUUCCAAGUUAGGUGGCUAAAAAUUUGGGACUAAAUAUUUUUUCAAUAUUUUUUUAAUGGUAUCUACAAACUACUACAUUUAUACUACAAUUAAACUGCAAUUUAUACUGAAAAAAAAUGUUAACUACAAAAUUUUUUCCUAAUCUAUAAAUUUUCUACAAAAAAUCUACAAAUAAACUACAAAUCAGUUUACGUAUUUAUAAAGCAGUAUUGUUUUGAAGGGUAUCUACAAAAUUACUACAUUUAUAUUACAAUUACACUACAAUCUUGACAAAAAAUGUUGACUACAAAAUUUUAUCUUCAUCUACAAAAUUUUUUUAAAAAAAACUACAAAUAAACUGCAAAUCGGUUUAAGUAUUUUAUAAAGUUGUAUUGUUUUUAAGAGUUUCUACAAAAUUAUUACAUUUAUACUACAAAUUAAACUACAAUCUUAUGUGGAAAAAAAAGUUGACAAUAAAAUUUACUCUUCAUCUACAAAAUUUCUACAAAAAAACUAGAAAUAAACUACAAUUGCGCCCACACUGUCACACUUACAAAGAUUCAUGUGGCUACACCAUAAAUUUACAUUUGAGAAUUGUUGAUUGAUCUAUUGAGGAAGUCUUCUGUAUCAUAUAUCUACUCUCGAUCUCGUACUUGUUAAAAUUCAAAACAAUAUCUGACAAUUACCAGAAAUUACAAUAACCAACACAAUGGAUUUCAUAUCGAAUCCCUUUGGCAAAAAAUCUGUUUAUACUGAAUGGGUCUCAUCUUUAAAUUUUUGGAGAAGAAGAACUAAUGGAGAAGAGAAAAAAAUAUGAGGGAGAAAAUGACAGUGGGAUUAGGAGAAAGAAAUGUAGGAAUUAAGGGGAGAGAAACAUGAGAUAUAUGGAUACCUUUAAUUAAGGAGUAAAAUCUGCCCAUUAAUUAGAUCCUUAGUUAAGUAUGGUAUAGAAUUGGUAAUUUGGUACAUGUGUUUGUAAUUAAAUCAAACCUUAAACAUGGAGAGUAAAAAUGUUUUCUAUAUGGUAUAUGAAUAUAAGCAUAAUAUACUGAAGUUCCAGCAUAAUAUGAGUACUAUAUUUACGUCGAUCCCGGUCCCACCAAACUUGUUAAAUGCUGUCGAGGAUUACUCAACGAUUACCAUAAGAAUUACUCAAGUGAAGAUAGGAGCAUGAGGGCGAAAGGUAAAUAAACUCAUCUAAUUUUUCUACUUUUAACUUUUAAAAACAAUAUUAUUAUAUGAGUUAAAACUCUUUAUGUAACAGAAACUGCAUAACAAGUAGAUUAAGUCAUAGUUUUUAUAAUUAAAAUAUUUAGUAUCAUGCUAAAACAUUUAUAAUAAGGGGAAAAUGUUAUUUAACUCUCUAAAUAAUGAGCAUAUAAUACAAAUCUUUGGACAAUAUCCAAAAUAACUGAAAUCCAUACACGAUAUGGUACUAUUUCAGAAACUAAUGUACAAAACGAAGCCAGUGGUAAAUUAUACUACUGUUAACUUAAAAUCUGUCUCGGCUCGAGCUCCUCAGCUAUAAUCACAAGGAGAUAAAAAUCAAUAAAACAAGUAAGUGGGUUGUAUGCUAUCGCCAGUACCUCUUAUCAUCCAUCAACAACUUAUGUACAAAAUUACGUUUGGGGAAGCAGACUAUCUCAGCUUAAAGCAGAUCCCCAGAAUUCCUAAGAAGACUAUGAUUACACUUACAGCUACGAGUGCCUUGGAUAUGUAGAAACUUGAUGAAAAUGAACUCAAUGCUGCCAUCGUUGAAGCUUCAUCAACUGGAAAAUCAUCUGUAUCUUUCACAUUUGCACUCAAGUCUUCAGCCACUCGACCAUACCCUUUAACUUCUUUGCACAUAGUAUCUUGUGUCUUAUCACUGAAGAUAGUAGCUCCAGCAGUAGAACUGCCUUCAACGGAGAAUUUAUCACUCUGCACAUGCCAAUUAUGAUAUAUUUCAAUGUUGUCACCUUUUUGCUUUUUCUUUUCUAUUUAUUAUUUAUUUUUUUUUAUUUUGAGGUGAGGGAUUGGGGAGACUUACCUCAGUCACAGUUAACAGUCCUUUGUAAUUUGCUCCACCCUUAUCAGAAUCAACAGGCACACGACACUCAGCUCUUCCAGCUUGAAGUUUCAUUUGGAAACGGAUUCUUCUAGGAGAAGUUCCUUGCAUUCCAGAUCCAAAAUGCUUGUCAUCAGGUUGAUUCUGCUUGAACCGAGUUCUUAGUUUUAUUCCAGUUCCAAAACCAGAAUCACUGCCUACAGUGCUAUAAGCGCUUGAGUCUUCAACAUUUAGUAAGUAGGGAACCUGCAUUCCACCAGAACCAGCAGACAAAGCAGCAUCUCCAAGGUAGUCAUUGUUAAGGAAGUCGAGAUUCCCUAUCGAGUGAUCAUUGCUAACAUUAGGUGCCGCAAACGCCUCUUCCACUGUAGUUGCAACAGAAUUAACCUCUCUCAUUAGUGCAGUCUUCGCAGAAUUUCCCCACAGCACCUCGGGUUCAAAUAAAUCUGUCCCAACCUGGGAUAAAAGAACAUCAGCAGAAGAUCAGUUUUCCGAGAAAACAAUUAAAUUUUCAAGAAACUGAUGUCUUGAGAUAACUUGCAAUUGCAUGUAAGAGAAAGACACCUACAGAGCUCCACUUACUGGCGCUUGCAUAACUUGUGCCUUCGACUCACUACACAAUCCAAAGUCCUUAACUGGUGAUCUUGUUAUAGUGUUGAUACUGUUUGAUGCAAACUGGACUGUCCUCAAUUCCAGUCCAGAAUCUUCAUAGGAAAGCUCAUCAGAGCUGUCAAGAACUGAGUUGAAAUACUCAUCAAUAUCAAAGGCAUCUGUUCCAUUCUGAAACUGGACAUCCUUUUGAUCAUGGCUCAACUCAACUCAUUAAUAUCAAAGGCAUCUGUUCCAUUCUGAAACUGGACAUCCUUUUGAUCAUGGCUCAUCUCAUUGAUCACAGGAGCAUGCAAGUACGAGGAUCCAAACUCCAACUGCAACUGCGCAUGCAACGGGGAGCAGAUCUUCCAAUCAAGAUGCUGUGGUGAAGGGUCACAAAAGAUUUCCAAUAAUGUCUCUAACUCGGGAUCCAACUAAAAUAUGAAGCCAAAAAAAUAAGUAGAAUAUUAGUUUAAUCAAUUGCUUGCAUGAAAAACUCAACAUUUAAAAUAAGACAUAAAAAAUGUAAUAAGUCUACUUACUGGUACUGAUGUUAUGUCCAACAUCUGAUCUUCAGUAUCAUCAACAGUGCAACUAUCGUCGCGACUGUCAAUAGGUAAUCUUGUGCCAUGUGUUUCGCCUCCAGAAAUUUUUGGUGGAUUGCUUUUACCACUAUCACUUUCCAUGAUUGGAGAUGGAGCCACUGCAUCUGAAAUUUCAUUAUCAGGUGAUUUUCCAACAGCAGGAGAAGAAACAAGCUGUUGAACCUCAUCCAAGUGUGAACUUUCAGCAUUUUCAUCUUGCUUCAACUCAUUCUUCUUAAAUAGACGACAAAGCACAAAGGCUCCCUGCACCAGGAAAAUGUUUACCAAUACAAAUCAUGUUACGUGGCUACAUCACAAACAGGAAUAGAAACAUAAGCUAAUAACGAUCAAAUCUAACAAUGGAGCAUCUGAUCCGCAGUUGUUGACAGGGACAUCUAAACUUUUAAGUUGUCUGAUUUCUGCAAUCAAACCUAUUAAAGCUCUUUUACAGAAUAAACGUGCAAUCAUAUACAAUAAUGGGUUUAGAUGCUCAGCAAAAUCUUUUUGCGGUUAUAAGGACUCUACUUAUGCAUUUAUCAAUCUGAUGCAUCUAAUAUGACAAAACAGUUGGGAUUGCUAGAUAGAUGAUUGUGGGUGAGCCAAACACCCAAUUACGACAUGCUUCUGACAGUAUCUUGGCAUGCUACCAAUGCAAGUAAUCNNNNNNNNNNNNNNNNNNNNNNNNNNNNNNNNNNNNNNNNNNNNNNNNNNNNNNNNNNNNNNNNNNNNNNNNNNNNNNNNNNNNNNNNNNNNNNNNNNNNNNNNNNNNNNNNNNNNNNNNNNNNNNNNNNNNNNNNNNNCCCCCCCCAACCAAAAAAAAAGAAACCAUUUUUGCAAUUCAAGGAUUGUGAUUCAUACAUGAUCUACUAACAGGAUUCGCCAAGUCAAAACACAUACCAUAAACAGAGUUUCUGGUGAACAAACAUACAACAAGAUAUAGCAGAGAAGCCAAUAUUUAACAGCUACUCUUGGAGUAUAUGAGACAUUUCAAAUAUAUAAUGUAGUUACGCUCAAGAAUAUCCAUUUUAAGGUUUUAAAAAAAGGAUUAUGACUAUGAAUUUAUGCUCCCUAAUAUCAUAAGCUACUGUAAUUCGAAAGUUUAAUUCAUACAUGGACUAAGACUUCAUAAAACCAUAUCACAAACAGAAUCUUAUGUCAUAAAUAAUCUUUCCUUUUUGUUCAUCCAAUAUUUAUAAUCUAGUUGUUCUUCAAUGCACAUGCUGAUGAUGAUAUAUUUGGUAAUUUGAAGCUCCAUCAAUUUGAUAUUGAACUGGAUAACUUCAAAAGGAUCCGGGAUAAAGUAAUUUUGAACUCUAUCUCACCCUUUUCCACCAUUAAGUGAUGCUUGAUUGUCAUAGAUAGCAUACAAUUACCAGAGGACAAGAUAGCUUCAUCCUCAUAUAAUUACAUCUCAUCGGCCAAGUCUAAGUGCAAGAGGAUACAUAUGACAAGAAUCCUCUUACUUAUAGGUCUGACAAGUCAAUAAGAAGGAUGGAUAGGUCUGACAAGUCAAAGAGUCGGAUCAGAUAGAAUUAUGGAUUAUAAAAUAACUUAUUGUAAAUUAACUUUGCCUUAUGUAGGAACUUUGCUGUCCAUACGAACGGAGUGUAAAAAUUAUAAAUAAGUAGGUACACCCUACAUUUUGUGGUUCCCAACAGAAAAUAAGAGGACUAACUAUAAGUCUAUACUUUAACUAGCCUAUCAUAUCCCAUUCCAUUUAAGUAAACACUAUUCAUUACAUGUCACCUUAAGACUGUGAUUUCUCUGAGUCAAAAAACCAUCAGAUAUCAACUAUACGUUUCAAGUAGAUUAGAUUAACCUAUGAUUUCACAUAUGUCACAACCAACCUUUUUCAAGCUAAAAUAAAAUUAUCCAAAAACCAAGAUACAUGAAAAAGAAGUUCAAAUUAAAGAGAGAUCAGAGCUUUCACAAGCCCAACCUGUCCAGGCUGUGAACCAUCCAAUGACUUGUCAGUUGCACGAUAUUCAUGAAUCACCCAAUUAGUCCUCUUCCCUUCAGGAGCUCGCCCAAUGUAGUAUACCAAAGUCUUCUUCAUCCCAAUCUUAGCCCCCUUCUUAGUAACUAUAUUCCUAUCUUUACCAGUAGCUUUCCAGUAGCCUCGUUCUGUUGCUCGGUUCAAUCGCUGCCCAUUUUGGUACUUCCGAUCUAUGGGACAGAAGAAGAACCAAUCAUUGUCCUUCGACUCUACCACAGACAAAUCUGUGAAAAUUUGAAACAAUUUAUACAAUUAUGUUCUUUUUUAAUCCUAUGAACUUCAACGCUACAAAGAGAAAGGUUUUUUUUUGUUGUCCGAGUUUCUGAGCUGUAACUACACAGAAAUAAAGUGUGGGUGCAGGGAAAGCUGAACCCUGAAUUCCUUUAAAGUAAAAAAUAAUACAAUAAACAUCAUCAGAGUAUACCAAAUUGAAUCACAUUGGUACAAACGAUAUUUAGUGGAACGAAAACCUUGAUUAUUUUAGCGCUAUCUAGCUUUGUUUAUUCAUUUCAAGACGUCCUACUGAAAAAGAGUAAAAAGCACUCAAAAACAGUGCUAGCACGGUUCUUCCAACUAUGAGGAAGAAAAAAAUUACACUUACAUUUUAAAAAAUCAAAAGUAGGUCAACAGCUGAUCUAGAGCCUCAAAGCUGUUAAUCAGCAUGAGUAAGACUAACUAAGUUACAAUAAUCAAACUUAUUGGCCAAUUCAAAUUGCCCCUUUGCCCCAUCUAAUUAUUACUUUCAAGGGGUUGAAACAUAAUUCAAACCACUUCGCUGACUAGUUAAUGAAUAUUUGUCCUGUCCACCCCCCCCCCCCCCCNNNNNNNNNNNNNNNNNNNNNNNNNNNNNNNNNNNNNNNNNNNNNNNNNNNNNNNNNNNNNNNNNNNNNNNNNNNNNNNNNNNNNNNNNNNNNNNNNNNNNNNNNNNNNNNNNNNNNNNNNCCCUCAACCAAACACCCAAAAUUCGAUUUCUUCAUGAAUUUGAUGACCAGUAGUACAACAGCACACACAAAAAAGAUAACCUAAAAAAUAAAGAAAAAAGCAUUUACAGUAAAAAGGGUGAAAAAGUUGACGAAAACUGACCAGGCAAGUCCGAGGGCUCGAAUUUGCAGACAUCAACUUCUCGAAUGACACCAACUUUGUCGUCACAACCAUUGAUCUUCAAGCGCAAAUAAUGAUUGACAAGCUCCUCAUCCGUGGGCCGAAAACGAUAUCCAACAGGUAAAGUGUUCAAAGGGGGAACUCCCAAGUGUUGGCCCAGCGGAAGUCCGGCGAUCGUAUUACGAUAUCCAACAGGUAAAGUAUUCAAUGGUGGAACUCCCAAGUGUUCCACCGGAAGUCCGGCGAUCGUAUUAUCUCCAGCAAUUACGGCCAUCACCAAAAUUCAAACUUAAAAUAGAAAAACCAAAAAGAAAAAAAAAAGUGAAAGAAUGGACUAUUGAUUUGAGCUGAAUUAGAGAAAAAGAAAUACUAAUAAAAGGAUGUUGAAUGGGUGAUGUGGAGAACCCUUUUAACGAAUUACGAAACGAUUCCUGGAAAAUUCAACAAUAAAGAGGAAACAUCAGAGAAAGUGACAUAUGAGUGAUGUGACUGUGAUUUGUAAGAAACUCAAUACCCAAGCAAAGAUAAACCGUGUUUUAAUUGGAUUCUGCUGCAUAUACCGCGUAGAAUAGUACGAAAAUCACUUUGAUUAAUAUCUUGUGAAACGUAACGAAGAAGAUAAAGGGCAUGUAAGUCAUAGAGCCAAUGGUGUUUGUCCACGUAGGCUUGAUAAUGUCAUUCUCGUAUAUGAUGGCGUACUAUGUUAUGUUUCCGAAAUAAUAAAGGUAAAAGUAAUGCCUGUCGGAUCAAUAAUUUUCUGAAGUCUAUUCAUAAUCCAAUUCCUCUUGAUCAAGAUGCUACGCUGCUUACUAUUAAGAAUGUUCUAGAAAAGUGAAAGCUUGACUCAAAUUUUGAGUGUGUAGUGUAGACAAAAUUAUACAGUAAUGUAUUCGGUUAAAUAGAACUUAUUCGAUUUUGUCAUUUAAUCGAAGACCGAAAAAUCACGUUGAGGGUUAAUCUCGUAGAGGAUUAGGUCGGAGCACGAAAAUAAUAUACCAAGCUCGAGACUCGAGGAGCUCGACGAUAUCGAUGUCAACAACGAUCGAGAUCAUAUGUGGCAGACUUCAAACGAAGCGCAAUAACAGAAAUGCGUGAUGACGGAAAUCCCUAAAUGGAUCAGAUCAAGGAUGAUUGUUUAGGCUAAUCAUAUAAUUUACUUAUGUAAUUAGUGUUAUAUUAUAAUUAGGAAUCUUGUACUAUAUAAAGAGGAGUCCGCAUCAUUUGUAGAUACCGUACAUUCACAAAUAUCCAAGCAGUAUUAUAUUUCUCAGUUUACAUUCUUGUUCAUUAGCUAGUUGUGUCUUUUACUAUUACGGCAUUAAUUUGUCUGAGGGCAUACAAGUUCGAGAGCUUAACUACGUUCUAAAGUCGGUUUGCUUUGUUUUAUUAUCAAUUCCUAUUGUUCAUCUUUAUAUGUGUUCAUUACUAUUAAGUUAAAUCAUGUUAUGGCCUGUAUUUUGGGCCGGGCCCGAGCUUAAACGGGCUGGGCCAAACGAACCCGACUUUGGCGGGCCCAGUCUUUAACGAUCUCGGGCCAAACGGUCCCGGUCUUCACGGUCCCAAUGAGUGGAACCGGCUCAAGGUGGGCCUAAACCCACAUUGUCCCGGGCUUAAUGGGCUGGGCCCACAGGCCUAAUGGGCUUUUUUCGUUUCGGUCUAUUUUUUAAAUUAUUUUAAUCUAAGGCAAUUUCUUGUAAAGUAUAUAUGUAUAUACUAAUAUAAAUUGCUUAUAUAUAUAGUAUGUAUAGUAUGUAUAUAUAAGGGUGUAUUGUGUAUACAUAUAAUUAUAUAUUGCAUUAUCUAAUAUAUAGCUUUUAUAUAUAUCAAAUUUAAACACGAAACAAAUUGCAAACGAAUAUUCAAGGAAAUGUCUUAUAAUUUUUAUUAUUACAACAUUAACAAAGAAUGACAAUAUCUUUCUUAGUCUUCCUCCCCCCAAUGGAAUGAGCACAACAAGGUACUAAUACCACCAUCAAAAGGAAAAAAAUUAAGGAAGAUGUGCCUAAAUAUAAGUUACAUAUUAGUCUAUGUAUUAUCUCUGACAAAUUUCAUAAAUCCUUCAUGGUUCAGAGGAAUUUCCGUUGGUGGUAGUGGAAAAGAGGCUUGUUCAUCACCGCUUCCGGGCGAAGCAGCCCCCGACGCAAGUUCCGCUAGCAUUUCUUCAUAAGGUUCGUCUAUCUCCGGUUAUGAUUCUGCAAGUCCAAAAUUUCUUCUUUCCGAACGGAUCCAAUCUUUGAAGAGUACCGGUUUUUCCAAGCUCUCCGUUGUAGACGCUCUAUGAUCACCAAUUUAAGUCUCGCUUGACUGAAAUCGCUCUCCGAUGCUACCGUUGAAGCUUGAACACUUUAAAAUAUCUCGAGCCAUCCUUGAAAGAACCGGAUAGUGUUUUUGUUUGUCCUUCCACCAUUAAGCUUGAACACUUAAAAUAUCUCGAGUCAUCCUUGAAAGAACCAGAUAGUGUUUUUGUUUGUCUUUCCACCAUUCAAAAAUAUCAAAGGUGCCAUCUGGAUUCUCCGUUUCAAGGCCAUGCGACAAAUAAACUUGAAGCUCAUUUAGUUGUGAACUAUCACCAAAAUUAUCACCUUGAGAACCCCUGAACUCCGUCGAAGAACUAAGGGCUUUUAGGUCUGCAGUUCUUUUAGAUGAUUACGAAUUAGAAGGAGUAGGAGUUAGAACAUUUGGUCUAGCAUGAUCUACAGUAAGUUGAUAAGCAUUAUAAAUUGUUUGAGCAUUUAUUUUAAUUGAGGCUUUUGCAUCUCCAAGUGGAGCAAAUUCCGCAGCUAAAAGUGGUAAAGCGUUAUAAAUGUUUGAAUAUCAAAUGUGAGGACCUCCUAAUUUUAUUGUGGGAUUUAACACUGCAGCAACACCAAAAAUAGGGGGAUAUGAAAAAAAAUAUUUUUUAAACUUAGCUUUCAUAGAAUUAAUAGCUUCUUGAUAAAUUACUCUACCCUCUGAAAAUGUUAUAAAUAAAUCUACAAGUGCUGCAAUAACUAAACAGAUAGAAAUAGUAGGAUAAUAUUGGCCAGAUAAUUUAUUAGUAGCAAUAUGAAAUUGUUUUAAAAAGUCUACAAGCAUUUUAGCAUUACUCCAAUCUUGAUUUAUAAGGUGAUAAUCAUCAUCAUCAUCACCAUCACCUGCACGAGCAUUAUAUGUUGCGCUUAUUUGGGUUCCUAUAUUCACAUGCAACAACUAAACUUUCAUACAUGUAAUUUCAUCUAGUGGGACAAGGUUUAGGAACCUUUCUCCUAUAUUCAUAUGCAACAACUAAACUUUCAUACAUAUAAUUCCAUCUAGUGGGACAAGGUUUAAGAGUCUUUCUUUUUCUAACUCCAAAUUCAUCACAUUUUUUAAAAUAGUCUUUAAGCCUACUUCUACGGUUUGAAUAAAAAAGCCAAUUAAGAUCCAUUUUAACCUUUUCAAUUUCUACAUUUAAAACCUUCAUACUAGCACCGAUGAUUAAAUAGUAAAUAUGAUAAAUACAUCUAAUAUGAAAAUAUUACUAAGUGCAAGAUUUAGUGUAGUUGUAAGCAAGCCUACAAAGUUAGUGUUACUAGAAGCAUUAUCCAUUGAAACCGACAUUAUUUUAUCUCUAAUGCAAAGAUAUCUACAAAUAGCUGCAACUGUUAGCAAUAAACUUACCUGGGUGGCGUGAAUUAAUUAAUCUAUAAGCAAUAAUACACUUUUGCAUUAUCCACUCUGCAUAUAUCCAAUAACUUAUAACAGUUAGAUAAUCACAGUUAUUAUCACUUCUACCAAUAUCAGUAGUAAUAGCAAUGCGACAAUCUAUAUGAGUAAAUAAAUAGUGCAAAUAUUGUUCAUAUUCAUGUUUAUAUUUGUAAAUACCGCUAUUUACAGUUGCGCGGGGCCAUCCUUUAUAAGUAGGAUUAAAAACUCUUCUAAUAUAAUGCACAAAAUGAGGGUUAGAAGGAAAACUAUAUGGUAAGCACAAAACAAUAACCAUUUUUGCCAAUUAUGCACGAUAUUUAUUUGGAUCAUAAUAUUAAAUGCCACCGGUAAUAGUGUUAAUUCCCGGUUGAACUAUAUUUGAACCUGUAGUAGGGUUAACCGUAGUAUCUACACUUCUCCCCUCUUGCGCAGCUUUCAUUUGAAGAAAUCUAGCUUUAUCUCUCGGGUGUUUCUUUAUGUGUCUAGUCAAACUACCCAUACCAUUACGGUCUCCAGUAAAUUUAUGAACCAACAAAGCCCUACAGGUUUUACACUUAGCCUUAUUUUGUUCUCUUUGUUGAGUAAAAAAGUACCAAACAAGAGAUGUUUCGGGUUGUUUAGAAGGUUGUCUACUAAAAGUAGGGGUUAUUACAGCAGGGUCAGGUGGGGCAUCAGUUAGAUUAUUAACAGGACUAGUAUUUAGAAAGUUGUCUAUUAAAAGUAUGGGUUACUACAGGAGGGUCAAGCAGGACAUCAGUUGGGUUAUUAACGAGACUAGUAGGUGUAUCAUCUAAAUCCGGUUGCGUUUCAUCUAAAUCAUCAUUUUUCUCAUCAUUUUCAAAGAUAGUUUCAUUAAGAUAAAUAGCAUUCAUAACUUCUUCAUUUAGUUGUUGACCUGGUGCAACGUCAUGACAAAAUUGACUAUCGAAAAAUUGAAAAUAAGGAUUAUCACUAUCAAGAAUAACAGGUGGAGGAGAAUAGGUAACGGGUCUGGGUCAGGGAGCCGGGGGAAGAUUAGUAUUUUGGUGACUAAAUUCACAAAUUUUAGAUUUUCCUUACCACCAAAUAUUUUUUCAAAGAAAAUGCCAUAUUAAUUAUAAUAAUACAAGUUAAAACAAACAAAGUUAUAAUAUUGAACUUAAGAGUUGGAACGCGUUUACUAAAUUGACGAACAACUUCUUAAAAAUUGAAUAUCGUUGAAGACUUGAAGACUUCAAUUCACCAACUUCACAAUUUUUCACGAAAUUGCAAUAAUAAAAUAAGAAAUUAUAGAAGAAAAUUAGAGAGAGAUUGAUGAAUUUGUGAGUAAAAAUGAAAGUAGGAGGGGGUAUUUAUAGUUGAGAAUUGGAAAAAGGUGUAAUUAUAAAAAGUUUGGUGUUGAAACAAAGUUUGAGGGCCGAAUGGCUACUUUUUAAAGUGCCUAACGAUUGAAAUUGAAGGCCAACGACAAUUUUAAAAAUCUUAACGUUGGUCAAUUUUAAAAAAACAAAUUUUUUUACAAAAUUAGUCUUUGGGGCCCAUUGGGCCCGGUUGAACCGGCCCGGCCCGCCUGUCAGUCAAGAACUAAACGGUCCCGGGCUAUUUGGGUAGGACCGGCCCAUUAUGGGAAUUUUCACCAUGUUAGAGCGACCCGCUUGAGACCGGCCCAUUUGACCUCUUUGGCAUGUGGUAUCGGGCAAGUCCCGGGCUGGGCCCGGCCCACAAUACACCUUAAAUUCACGUAUCAUUAAAUUAUAUUAUAAGUUUAAUAUUUAUCAAAUAUUUAGGAUAAAUAGUUUGGCGCCCAUCGUGGCGCUAAGGAUAACAGUGAUUGCUUAAUAUUGACCUUUAUAACAAACACUACUUUUACGCUUGUUCUCAUAAGUGAUUUUGAUUUCAGGAAUCAACAUGCCGAACUCUCAAGCAGUAUUAGCCUUGGUCUUCAUGGAGAGGACGAGCACGUGGUCACCCAGGGAAACGAAGUAACUCCAAUCAAUCCCGAUGCACCAUAGGACGUAGAUCCAAUCAAUAUCAAUUCUUGAGUCUCCAUUCGUUGUGAUUUAGGUGCUGACCCUAAAAAUAACAUUCGUUGAGAUGCCUAGGAAGCUGAUCAGAACACACAAAGUGGUGAAGAAGGGGGGAUUAGCCUUCUAAUGAUAUUUGACAUGUAUUACAAACUGAGCAGGUUGCGAUAGUGCAACUCCAAAAUUUAAUUCAAGCACCAAGCAAAAGCAAACUCGAUACACCACAGGAAGUUGUUCAUAGGGUCGAACCUAUGUAGGAGAAAUUGAAUGAUAAUGGAUCAGAAACUGACCUCGCCAUCAUGAAGAUGCUCUAGGAGCUCACUAAAUGGAUUGAAUCAAUAGAAAGGAAAAUUGAGGGUAAUGAUAAAAAGGUAGAAAUGUACAACUCACGGCUUGAUCAAAUACCGGGGGCACCCUCGAUUUUGAAGGUUUUGGAUUCGAAAAAGUUUGUACAAAACCGUUUCCCACCAAGUACAACUCCGAAGCCCGUUCCAAAGAAAUUCUGCAUGCAAGAAAUUCCCAAGUAAAUUGGAACUGCUUAUCCUAAUGAGCAUGUCACUUCUUAUGUAUGCAUAAUAAAGGGAAAUGACUUAGAAGAUGAUGAAAUUGAAUAUGUUCUAUUGAAAAUAUUUGGAGAAACUUUAUCGAAUGGGGAAAUGAUAUGGUACCCCAAUUUGCCGCCCAAUUCUAUUGAUUCUUUCACCAUGCUUGCUAAUUCGUUCGUAAAAGGCACACGCUUGAGCAAUAAAGGUCGCAACUAGAAAAUCAGACCUCUUCAAAGUGAGACAAAAGGACAAUGAAAUUUUACGAGAAUUAAUAUCACGAUUCCAGAUGGAACACAUCGACCUACCCUCGAUUACCGAUGAUUGGGUUGUCCAAGCCUUUACUCAGGGUUUGAACGAGUGAAGUUAUGUAGCAUCACAUCAACUAAAGCAAUUUUUGAUUGAAUAUCCAGCGUUGACUUGGGCCGAUAUGAAUAAUCGAUACCAGUCAAAGAUCAAAGUCGAGGAUGAUUAGUUAUGAGCCCCUUUCGGUUCUGUUUACCCAAAUAGAUCUGAAGGCAGAAUUCAAAGAGACACCGAUAGGGAUCCCCCAUCAAAUAGAUAUCAGUAACAAUCAUAUAACAUCGCAAAUCGGGACGUAAUCCUAUUUGAAAUGAUCGAGAUCAAAAUUCUGAGGCUCAUAAGUAAGAGUGGCUUCGAUAAAAAUGUUGAGCCUAAAAAAUUUCCAUGGUUAUCGGAAUACAACUUCAAGUAUUGUGUCAGCCAUUGGAUGAAUCAAUGAUACUAGGUGGCCCAGACCCCUAUAGGCCGAUCCAGCUCAAAGGAGUCCAAAUCAAAUGUGUAAGUUCCAUGGAACCCAUGGUCACAGAACCAAAGACUGCAGACAAUUAAGGGAGGAUGUAGCUCGUUUAUUAAAUUAGGGUCACCUUCAAGAGUUCUUGAGUGACCAAGCUAAAAUCACUUCAAAGACAGGGACGAACGAACAGGAAGAACCGCAUUACAUGAUUUGUAUGAUCGUUGGUGGGGUCGAUGUUCCUCAAGGCCCGAUAUCCAAACGAACCAAAGUGACAGUCACAAGGAAGAAACAUACUCGGGAUUACAUACCAUAGGAUACCUUAUCUUUCAACGAUGAGUAUGUAGAGGGAACCGAACUACCUCACAGCAACACACUAGUAAUAUCUAUCAUUAGAAAUAAAAUUCAAGUUAAACAUGUGUUGGUUGAUCCAGGUAGCUCAACAAACAUCUGUGAUGUUCCAAAAGGGCAUCACUUGAUUUACGAGUAAAUUCUGUAUUUUGAGGCCCUAUAAGCCUCAUUUUUCCUCACUUCGAUUUGCGUUCAUGUUUCGGGCGUAUAUCUGGAAUGUUUUUAUGUGGAAAUGAAAAUAUUAAUUUGGCCUUUAAUAUUGAUUUAAGUUGACUUUAGUUAAUAUUUUGGGCAAACGGACCCAAACCCGUAAUUUAAUAAUCCUAAAGGGUUCAUAGGAAAAUAUGAGACUUAGGCCUAUGCCUGGAAUUGAAUUCCGAAGCCCCAAGUUCGAGAAAUAAAUUUUUAAAGAAAAUUAAUUCUAGAAAAUAUAUAAGUUUUUGGAAAUGAAAUAUGUUUUGGAGUUUGAUGGUAUCGGGCCCUUAUUUUAGUUCCGGUGUUCGGUACAAGUCUUAUAUGUUAUUUAGGUUGAGACUGUAAAAUUUGGUAAGAAAUGAAAGUCGUUUGAUGUGAUUCGAACUUGUAGUUGUGAAAUUGAAUACUUUGAAAGUUUUUAGAUUUUUCCUUGAUUUUGAUACUAAAUUCAUAGUUGUUGAUGUUAUUUUGGAAAUUUGAUCGUACGAGCAAGUCCGUAUGAUGUUUUGGGUUAGUGUACAUGUUUGGGUUGGAGCCACAAAGGCUCAGGUGAGUUUUGGAUAUGCCACAAAGUGAAAUUUGGACUUAGGAAUUUCUGGUAUGUUGCAGGUCUGCAGGCUUCGCAAAUGCGAGCCCACAAAUACGAAGCUUUCAUUGCAAAAGUGAUAUCACAAAUGCGAAUUCCCCUUCGUCAAAAUGCUCUAAACUCCCCAUAAUCAUAAAAAUGAGUUUGGAAUUGUGAACAUUAAUUGGAAAUGCAAUGGUAGCAGGUCCUGAAUGCGAACCCUGGUCGCAAUUGCGACAUCUGCAACCUGCAAAUUCAUAAUUUAGCCGAAAAUUCUUCAUUUUUCAAACACUUUCAAAACCAAAACACUCUUGGGUGAUUUUUCAAAGACAAAUACUCUUCCAAAUCGAUUGUAAGUCAUUUAUAACUCAUUUUCUUCAAUCUUGAGCAUCGUUUCUUAUGAUUUCAUCUCAAAUCAAAGGUUUUCAUGGGGGAAAAUUGGGUGUUUUCUGUAGAACCUAGGUUUUUUAGAUUUUGAGAAUUUGGACCUUGAUUUGAGGUUUGAUUUCAAAAAAAGUUGUAUAUUUGGGUUUGUGGGGGAAUGCGUAAUCGAGUUUUGGUUCGAACCUCGGGUUUUGAUCAUAUGGGCCCGGGGCCAUUUUUGACUUUUUGGGAAAUACUUUAGAAAACCUAUUUUCAUGUAUUGGAAUUAAUUCAUUUAGCAUUUAUUAUAUAGUUAAGUAACUUGUGGCUAGAUACGAGCGAAUUGGUGGUGGAAUCAAGAGGUAAAGCAGUAGUUGAGAAUUGAAUUGUGUUCGUAGCAUCGAGGUAGGUGUUUGGUCUUACCUUAGCUUGAGGGAUUAGGAGUUUUGUCCUAUUUGCUAUGUGAUAUUUGUCGAGUACGACGUAUAAGCAUGGUGACGAGUAUCUAUACAGUGGAGUCAUGCAUGCUCGUGAGUCUUAUUCUAUGAUUAAUAUGACUCCAUUUGUAUUGUUCAUGACUUAUGUGAUGAUUUCUGUUGUUAUGACAUAGGGUCGGUUGUGCUAGAUCUGAUACUUGAGCUUACCGACUGUUGCUUUAGGUGACUGCCUUCAGUCCAUUCGGAGAUCCAAUAUAGUCAUUCAGGCAUCCGUAGGUCCUGACGUCUCCCUUUAUCCUUUCAUCCUGUUUCAUUUACGUAUUUCAAAAAUAGUGUUGUAUUUAUUUUUUUAGACCCUGUCUGCACUAUUCUUAGAUCGUCUGUGAAGUUGUGACACCAGUUCUAGGUUGUCUUUAUUUGAGAAAUUGUAUUAGAAAUAUUUAAAUGGUUUUAUUUGUUUUUUUUUGCUUGUUUAAAUUCUACUGUUUAUAAACUGUUGGUUCAUAAUUGUCAACGGAUUAAAAUGGAAAAAAGGUAAAUUGUUCAAAUGGUUGGUUUGCCUAGCUUUCACUAGUAGGCGCCAUCACGACUUCCAAGGGUGGGAAAUCUAGGUCGUGACAAGUUGGUAUCAGAGCUCUAGGUUACAUAAGUCUCAUAAUUCACAAACAAGCUUAGUAGAGUCUGAGGGAUUGGUAUGAAGAUAUCUGUAUUUAUCCCCCAUAGGCUAAAGAGUUAGGAAUAAACUUCACAUUUAUGCUUUCCUAUCGUGCGAUUUGGUUUCUCAAUGCUAACUGAAUUUCUACUCUAUUCUUUCGCAAAUGGUGAGAACACACACUUUCUCAUCCACUGAUCAGCAACCCGAGUACCCAACAGCAACUCCCAUGAGGGAUAGAGGGCGAGGAUGAGGACGAGACUAUGUUAGAGGCCGAGGUAGGGCCAGAGCUUAGCCUAGAGCAGCAGCACUAGCCGCGGAGCCUCGGGUUGAGUUUGAUGAUGAGGUUCCAGCCCAAGUAGUUCCGGUAGGCCCAGAUCAGGUUCUAGAGGGGUUCAUUGAUACCUCAGUACUUUAGGAUGCUCUGGUCCGUUUAGUGGGCCUUAUGGAGAGUGUCGCUCAGACAUGCUUGCUUCCUGUAGCACCAACCAUCUCUCAGGCUGGGGGAGGAGCCCAUACUCCUACUAUUCGCACUCCGGAGCAGAUGGCUCCCCUGUUUCAGACUCCGGCAGCUCAGCCAAUUGGAGUCGUUCAGCCGGGUGUGAUAGCUCAGACCAAUGAUGGAACAACUAUGUCUGCUUAUGCCUUGUGGAGAUUGGAUAGGUUUACCAAGCUCUUCACUACCACUUUAAGCGGUGCAUCUUUUGAGGAUUCCGAAAAUUAUGUAAACAACUGUCAUGAGGUUCUCAGGAAUAUGGGGAUAGUAGAGACCAAUGUGGUCGACUUUGCUACUUUUCGCUUAUCCGGAUAUGCGAAGACUUCGUGGAGGGAUUAUUGUUUGGCUAGACCAGUUGGGUCACCAACUUUGACUUGGAAUUAGUUUUCUCAGCUAUUUUUGGAGAAGUUUCUUCCUAUCACUCAGACAGAGAUAUAUCAGAGGCAGUUUGAGUAUCUACAGUAGGGUUUUAUGACUAUUACUCAGUACAAGACUAGGUGUAUUGAUUUGGCCUAUCAUGCUCUUCUUAUACUUCCCACAAAGAGAGAGAGCGAGAGAAAGAGAU
rnacentral:lncRNA from 1 species